GGAUGUAUGAUGAUUCCCAGUACAACAUUCCUUGGAAUGCUGAACAAAAUGAAUAAAUUCUCAAUACCGCAACUCUCAUCCAACAUGAGGUCC